rnacentral:rRNA from 1 species
AACGCGAAGAACCUUACCUGGGCUCGAAAUGUAGUGGAAUCGGGUGGAAACAUCCGCGUCUCGCAAGAGACUGCUAUAUAGGUGCUGCAUGGCUGUCGUCAGCUCGUGUCGUGAGAUGUUGGGUUAAGUCCCGCAACGAGCGCAACCCUUAUUACCAGUUGCCAUCAUUAAGUUGGGCACUCAGGUGAGACCGCCUCGGAUAACGGGGAGGAAGGCGGGGAUGACGUCAAGUCCUCAUGGCCUUUAUGUCCAGGGCUACACACGUGCUACAAUGGCCGGUACAAACCGUCGCAAACCCGUGAGGGGGAGCUAAUCGGAAAAAGCCGGCCUCAGUUCGGAUUGGAGUCUGCAACUCGACUCCAUGAAGCUGGAAUCGCUAGUAAUCGCGGAUCAGAACGCCGCGGUGAAUACGUUCCCGGGCCUUGUACACACCGCGCAUA